UGGCUCAGAUUGAACGCUGGCGGCAGGCCUAACACAUGCAAGUCGAGCGGUAACAUUUCUAGCUUGCUAGAAGAUGACGAGCGGCGGACGGGUGAGUAAUGCUUGGGAACAUGCCUUGAGGUGGGGGACAACCAUUGGAAACGAUGGCUAAUACCGCAUAAUGUCUACGGACCAAAGGGGGCUUCGGCUCUCGCCUUUAGAUUGGCCCAAGUGGGAUUAGCUAGUUGGUGAGGUAAAGGCUCACCAAGGCGACGAUCCCUAGCUGGUUUGAGAGGAUGAUCAGCCACACUGGAACUGAGACACGGUCCAGACUCCUACGGGAGGCAGCAGUGGGGAAUAUUGCACAAUGGGCGCAAGCCUGAUGCAGCCAUGCCGCGUGUGUGAAGAAGGCCUUCGGGUUGUAA
rnacentral:rRNA from 2 species